rnacentral:rRNA from 1 species
CCAAUAGCGUAUAUUAAAGUUGUUGCAGUUAAAAAGCUCGUAGUUGAAUUUCGAGACCGGUUUAUUGGUCGUGCUUUUGUACGUACUGGUAUUAUUGGUUUCUCCUUUCUGACGAAUCUUAAUGCCAUUAAUUUGGUGUUUUGGGGAAUCAGGACUGUUACUUUGAAAAAAUUAGAGUGUUUAAAGCAGGCUCACGCUUGAAUACAUUAGCAUGGAAUAACGGAAUCGGACGUUUGAUUCUAUUUUGUUGGUUUCUAGGAUCGACGUAAUGAUUAAUAGGGAUAGUUGGGGGCAUUAGUAUUCAAUUGUCAGAGGUGAAAUUCUUGGAUUUAUUGAGGACUAACUACUGCGAAAGCAUUUGCCAAGGAUGUUUCCAUUAAUCAAGAACGAAAGUUAGGGGAUCGAAGACGAUCAGAUACCGUCGUAGUCUUAACCAUAAACUAUGCCGACUAGGGAUCGGAUGAUGUUAAUUUUUUAAUGACUCAUUCGGCGCCUUACG